rnacentral:lncRNA from 1 species
GAACUAUUAAUUGUAUUUAGUUUAGGUUAUAAGUUGUAAGGAUGAUUAAUGUUCGAAUAUAAAAAUAAUUUUCUUGUUUUUUAUGCUGCUGAUACUCUCUUUAACUUUGAGCAUUUGAAUUUAUAAUAAAUAUUUUUAUAACGUCCAUUUUGCUGUUUUUUGCAAAUAGUUUUAAUGAUGCAGUUAUUAUAAAAGCAAAUCUAUAUAAAAAAAAUAGUUCCCAUUUCGAUAGUUCCUAACAUCCAAUAAGAAAGCUAGCUUCCAGAAAUAAACGAAUUAAAAGUAAUAAUAAACAUAAACUUGACCAACAUUUUUGCUUUAGUAGAGUGCCUAUCGGAGUGUCUGGUAUACAUAUAUUAAUCCCAACUGACUCCCUGGUUUUUUCAAAUUCAUUUCAACAAUUUCUGCAUUAACAUUUGCGCCAGCAUCAUCAUCAUCUUGUGGCACAUAAUUUGGAUCUACAAUUGAAUCAUCAUCAUCCUCGGAUAAAAAUGAACUUGUGUUAUCAUUACUUCUGACUAACAAGUCAGCUGAUUCUGACAGGUAGCAGAAUAGCUUUUUGCUAAACAAUUUCCAUUUAAUUAGGUCAAAACUAUCCUGAGUUCCUUGUUAAAGCAUAAAGAGUCUAAGAAUUGAUUUACGAUUUAAAGUAAAAAUACAUAAUUUACAAGCAAAAUUUGUAUUUGAAUUUUGGGAAUUGUAGAAAAAAUAAUGCGAAAAA